GGGGAGGUUCCCGAGUGGUCAAAGGGGGCAGACUGUAAAUCUGUUGGCGACGCCUUCGAAGGUUCAAAUCCUUCUCUCCCCA
rnacentral:tRNA from 1 species